AUGAGUGUACUACAUCUACGUCCCCUUUUCUUUGCCUCAACACCCCUGAAGAUCCCAGGGAGUGGGACAAAGUUGGCCUCAACACCCCUGAAGAUCCUAGGGAGUGGGGAAAAGUUGGCCUCAACACCCCUGAAGAUCCCAGGGAGUGGGGAAAAGUUGGCCUCAACACCCCUGAAGAUCCCAGGGAGUGGGGAAAAGUUGGCCUCAACACCCCUGAAGAUCCCAGGGAGUGGGGAGAAGUUGGCCUCAACACCCCUGAAGAUCCCAGGGAGUGGGGAAAAGUUGGCCUCAACACCCCUGAAGAUCCCAGGGAGUGGGGAAAAGUUGGCCUCAACACCCCUGUCGUCCCGACAGUGGGGCCCCAUUUACCUGCGUCUGCUGUCUGGAGGGGUGCUCCAGAUGUACCAUGAGAAAGGACUGGAGAAGCCCUUCAAAGAGUUCCAGCUGCAGCCUCACUGCAGGUUUUCAGAUCUCAAGCUGGAGAGCAACGGAGAGCCUCGCAAGAUCCAGACAGUGAAGGUGCAGGACGUGUCUUACACAGAGAAGAAACGCUACCACCACAAGCUGGAGGUGUCCCACGAGGCUGAAGUGGAGCAGCUGCUGAAAUUUGGAACCACGGAAUACGGCGACAUGGAGGAUCUGUUAGAGACCAUGGAGGAGGACUCUUAGGCUGACUCCGCCCCUGUCGCAAAAACGGCACUACGAGGAACAGGAGAUGACACUGCAGAUCCCAGACCACCUCUGGGUGCAGCUGGACAAGGACGGUGUGGUGAUGGAUCGGGCAGCCAUGACGAGGAUCCACUGCCUGGCUUUCCUCAACGGACCAGGGGAGUGUUUCCUGGCUCUCAAUGACCUAGGGCUCCUCCGCUUCCACGCCAGCUAUGGCUCUGAGGAGGGGUGGAUGGAGAUCAGUGACUGCCACUUCCACAAGUGCAUCAAUGACUUGGAGUUCCACAAGUCCCGGCUGCUCAAGUUCUCUCCUCCGGACGCCUGUAGAGUAGAAUUGAUGCGCAACAAAACGUUAGCCCUGGGAUGUACUAACCUACCGUUCUCCGUCAAAGCCGUGGUGACUGUCCAAGGGGCCUACGUGGAACUCCAAGCCUUUCUCAACAUAUCACCGCUCUGCGAGAACGUUCUGAUCCAUGUGCCGGUACCGGCGGACUGGGUGAAGGUGUCAAGCACUGUGACGUUGCUAAGACGGAAGUCCCUGCCGGCCAGGAUCAACCCGGAACGUGUGUCUGGGGACAGUCAGUGCUGUUGAGUCACAGCCGGUCAUGCAAGUUACCGUGGGGACAGUUAAGUAUGAGAAUGAGUACUCGGCCAUGGUGUGGAGGAUCGACAGAUUGCAUGCUAAGAACAUGGCAGUAGAAAAUCCCCAUACCUUCUCCUGUAAAUUAGAGCUUGGUUCAGAUCAGAAGAUCCCCACUGACUGGUAUCUGUUUGUCACGAUGGAGUGUGAGAUGUGGUCUCACAGACCAGAGUGACGUCACUGGGCACAGACAGUGACGUUCAGCCUCAGAAACAUGUCACCGGUAGGACCCACUAUCAUUGUCAUCCGAAGCUCUACCUGUCCAUCAUAGAUGAUGUGAUUGAGAGCAUGCGGGAGGUGUUUCUGGAUGAAGGACUGGAGGACCGUGUCCUUGAUGACCUGAGACAGCUCUGGGAGUCAAAGAUUAUGCAGUCCAAAGCAGUGGAUGGCUUGGCCCUCAUGAAGAACACCAUCAACUCAUCCAACUUUGUGCUGCAGCUCCCUCCAAACUAUGGACAGACUUUUUCAAAACCUGCAGCCUCUAUGGUGAUUCCUGCAGGUCAACACGUCCAGAGUUUCACUGCUAAGAACAACGGUGGGACUCUAGCCACCUUCUCUCUUCCUCCCGGGAUGACCUACCCAGUCCAGAUCCCUGCAGGGGUCACACUGCAGACGGCCUCUGGCCAGCUUUAUAAGGUCAAUGUCCCAGUGAUGGUGACCCAGACUCCAGCCAGUCAUCGCCAUCUCUCCCAGGCCCAACCCAGGCAAGGGGUACCUGUAGUGGAGUGGAGAGAUCCCAGCUCAGCUUCCCAGCAGUCAGCCACAGUGGUCCCUUCUACUGUCCUAAAGACCAUGGCCCUUCCGAAGACUGAACCCUUUUCCCUACAGCCUGUGGCUCCUCCCAGAGCGGAUCCUCAGACCACAGAGCAGAGGAGCCUGAUUCCUCCGGUCCAGCCACCUAAUGAGAAGCCUUUGCUACCCCAACCUGUGGUCCAGCCCCCAGUUCAGGAGAAUAAUCUUGUUCAGCAGCCACAGGUUCCUUCAGCUCAGGCAACCUUUUCUGGUCAGACUCCAGUGUCCUUCCAGCCCCCAGCCCAACUGCCAUCUCACCCCCCAGAGAGCCCCUUCGACAGUGGCGAUUUCAAUCUGGAUGGGAUUGAUUUUGACAGUCCACAGCCACUAGACAUGAGCCUGUCCUCCGGCUCCGCCAACAUGCCAAGCCUUCAGGUCAAGAUGGAGACGACCCUGUCUGAAGGGUCAGGGUUUAUGGGUCAGGGGUCAGAGUUUGAGGCCAAAGAGAUGGUGAAACAGGAGGAUCAUGGAGGAGCGGUGGCUGAUAUGACAACCCACCUUGAGGGUCUACCUGUGGAUUCUACCAAGCUGGAGAUGGCCCUGUUGAAAGACUACAACUACAAUGAUGCUCUGGCAGACAUCAUCCAGCUGGACGGGCCUGCAGACAGCAGCUCUGAGGAGGUGGAGGAGUUGGAAGGAGGUGCGAUGGGAGAAAAUGAGUUCCUAGGAAUGAUGACUGUGGAGGCUCUCCAGGCCCUACAGGAGGUAGAUGGCAGCAGUGAUGAUGGCAUCUCCAGCUCCAGUGGUGACAGUGUGGGGAUGGAUGAAAUCACAGUGGAAGAGGAUCCUUUAAACUCUGGGGAUGACGUGAGUGAGCAGGACAUUCCUGAUCUCUUUGACACUGACAAUGUGAUAGUGUGUCAGUAUGAUAAGAUUCACCGCAGUAAGAACCGGUGGAAGUUCUAUCUGAAGGAUGGGGUGAUGUGUUAUGGAGGAAAGGACUAUGUCUUCUCUAAGGCUGUCGGCGAGGCAGAGUGGUGACUGGGUUUCUGUUAUGUUCCAAUGUCCAUACGAGAAUAGUUCAGAGGCGAAGAGGGGUUUCGUACAAUACCUCUUGGGAUGCAAUGGUAGUACAUUCUAAGUAGCAUGCUAGUGUGAAUAUUGGAACAGAACCUUGGUCUGUAUUUCACCCAUGUGGAUACAGCCUUGACUUAGUCUUAAAUGUGUCCAACGAGGCGCAUAAAACAUGAAUAUAUUGAGAGAAUAAUAUCAUUUGAAGUUAAUGGGGAAAACCACAGUUGUUCAGUGAGCUAGAACAUACAAUCUAUGCAGGUUUCUAAUCUGAAGAAAAAUGUCUGGAUGAGUAAUGUGUCCGUCCCACACGCCAACCUGUUCCCUAUAUAGUGCACUACUCUUCACCAGCCACCAUCGUGCACAAAGGGCUUUUUGAUUUGUUCAUUUUGUUUAUGUAACUAUUUAUUUAUAUUUUUGUAUUUGUUGUGUAAUGCCAUUAAAGGAACACUGAGCACUAAGUUGGUCCAAACGCA